GACGUAGGGCGCGAGCGUUGUCCGGAUUUAUUGGGCGUAAAGCGCACGUAGGCGGCUUUGUAAGUUAGAGGUGAAAGCCCGGAGCUCAACUCCGGAACUGCCUUUAAGACUGCAUCGCUUGAAUCCAGGAGAGGUGAGUGGAAUUCCGAGUGUAGAGGUGAAAUUCGUAGAUAUUCGGAAGAACACCAGUGGCGAAGGCGACUUACUGGACGAUUGUUGACGCGUGAGGUGACGAAAGCGUGGGGAGCAAACAGGG
rnacentral:rRNA from 1 species